GAUGAACGCUGGCGGCGUGCUUAACACAUGCAAGUCGAACGGAAAGGCCCUGCUUUUGUGGGGUGCUCGAGUGGCGAACGGGUGAGUAACACGUGAGUAACCUGCCCUUGACUUUGGGAUAACUUCAGGAAACUGGGGCUAAUACCGGAUAGGAGCUCCUGCUGCAUGGUGGGGGUUGGAAAGUUUCGGCGGUUGGGGAUGGACUCGCGGCUUAUCAGCUUGUUGGUGGGGUAGUGGCUUACCAAGGCUUUGACGGGUAGCCGGCCUGAGAGGGUGACCGGCCACAUUGGGACUAAGAUACGGCCCAGACUCCUACGGGAGGCAGCAGUGGGGAAUAUUGCACAAUGGGCGGAAGCCUGAUGAAGCAACGCCGCGUGCGGGAUGACGGCCUUCGGGUUGUAAACCGCUUUCGCCUGUGACGAAGCGUGAGUGACGGUAAUGGGUAAAGAAGCACCGGCUAACUACGUG
rnacentral:rRNA from 1 species